ACAAACAUACCACAUCAAUCAAACUAUUUAUUUUUUUAGAUUUGUUUAAGAUAACGAUAAUAAGAAAGGGAAAGCGAAAAAUGCUGAAUCGAUAGUAUUUUGGCGGUAAAAAGAUUAUCACGUGAUUGAAUUUCCAAAAAUAACCGUUAUUAAUUAAUUAGACUAGAUUAUGUUCUUUGUGAGUUUUUGAUCUCAGUGCUGUAAACAUGUUAUGUAAUAACAUAAAAAUGAAAAUAUAUUUCCCAAUGAUAUAGACUGUUCAGUGAAUUUACCUGGAAUUAUGCUACAUUCAGGGCCGGAAGUGAAGUAAGAAUAACUUCCGUGAACUGCUAUUAGGCGUGUCUCAUAGUCUAAAAAUAAUACCUAAAGCUAGUUAUAUGAUGUAUUUUCACCGAAAAACAACAGCAAUUGAUCCAGUAUGACACAAAACAGUAAAUUCGAGCCUUGAUACUUGUGUUUCUUUGAGAGAGUGAGAGAGUGGAUCUACCGCAUAAUUGUAGAUUGUAAAACGAGCGUCCUGUUGGGCAUCCUGUCCCUGCCGGCGAAGGAGACUAAAAACGAGCUUAGUUAAUAUUUUUUGAUAAAGGAAACAACAGACUCAAAGUACUAACAACUAAGUGUAUAGCCCUGAACAAGAAGAAUUUUAAUACAUUAAACACUCCUGUGGUGUUGAACGUACUGUUUUAAAUUAUAAAAGUCAUUAUUAGUAUAUCGACCAAUUAAACACCAUGUCGACAAACAAGUUAAAAGUCAGCCAGUAAGCUUGAAUUGACAGUCAGCAAACAGGUGCAUACCCCAGUGUUGAUAAUUUGAAUGCUGUAACACGACCAARCGACAUGCAUUCGGCUCAUAAACAAUUAUAAACGAGCUAAAAAUUCCUGUCCAAUUGUUGCGCAAAGAGAUCAUGGUUAUGAAAAAUGAGUUUUUAGACGAAACAAUUUAACAUAACAUGGAAGUCAAGGUUACCAAUCAGCAGACAUACUCAGCUGGUAAUCUAUGUUGAACAGGGGGAAUUUCACAUCAAUCAUUGCUCAAAGCCCGUUACGGGCGAAGAUGCCCAAGGAUGAAGAUGAAGACGAAGUAACUUCGAAAGAAGGAAGAACAAAGAGGGUGACUUUUGCUCUUAACGAAAUUCACCACGAGAUCAGCGAUGGGGAGGACGUACAAGAAAAGCGACCAGUCAGAAAGAAGGUGCCGUCGUAUGCUUUAGGACGACCACUUGCCGACUACGACGCUACWGAUCACGAUGUGAGUGUGUUUAUAAAAAAAUGGUUGAUUUUGACAAUCUGAAWGUCCUUUGAGUUCUUAAUAUAGGUWAUCCUUUCUAGAGAUGAUAGUGUGGGCGGUGAUAAGAAUAUUUACGAUAUCACAUCAAUGAUCAAAGGAUCAUAACGGUUU